rnacentral:rRNA from 1 species
AGAGUUUGAUCAUGGCUCAGGACUAACGCUGGCGGCGUGCCUAACACAUGCAAGUCGAGCGGGAGUAGCAAUACUUCAGCGGCAGACGGGUGAGUAACGCGUGGUCAACCUUCCGUUGAAUGGGGGAUAACUAGCCGAAAGGUUAGCUAAUACCGCAUACCAUCUUCAAGCGGCAUCGCAUGAAGAUGAAAGAAGCAAUU